rnacentral:lncRNA from 1 species
AGAUACAUUAAAGACAUUCACCUUAAAUAGAAGUGUAAGAAUCUUCUAUUUCAUAACAAAAGAUACAAAUUGAAUGAUUUUCCUAACUAAAAACCCACGAUUACCUCCUCCUCAACUCUAUUUUCCCAAAUUCCUUCUAUAUCUCCUAACUAGUAUACAUGCCCGCGCUUUGCGCGGCAGUAAAAUAAGUUAAAAUGUAAUUAAAUAUUAGUAUCAUAAUUUUAUUAUAAAAUAUUAAUUUUACUGAUCGAACUUCUUUUCAUGAUUCUUCUAACAUCUAUUAACUAAUAUUAGUUCUUCUUUUCACAUAUUCUUUUACCAGAUAGAACAACGUUCCAGUUAAGCAUGAAACAACCUAUUUUAAUUAGAAUAUAUUAAUUUGAAUAAGACAUAAAGAAGGGAUGAGAAAAAUAAAAAAUAAAAACUAAUGAGAAAGAGAAAACAAAAGAUAAUGUUAAAACUAAGGAUGUAAACCUAACUACCUAUGCCCCCUGCAUUUUCGUCUUUUUCUUUAUAUGAAUUGUGGAUAGCUCUAUUUCAUAAAGUUGAAUCUUUCGUAUACGUUCAAAUACAAAAACUAAAAAAGAAAUUAAAACAGAAGAGGAGAAAAAAAUUAAAUGUAUCAUGUUCUUUAAGGCCUUUCUCUUCUUCUUUUCUUUGCCUGAGUUUAUUCCUUUCUAUCUCUAUCUCCAAGCCUAGCAAACGAAAACACCUAUUCAUAUCUUAGUUAUUUUUUGAUACAACGUGGUGUGACUGUGCAGUCAAACGUACUUUCUUCUUAGAAACAUAACAAAUGAAUAUAAUAUAAUGUCUUACUUAUAACAUUAACAGAGUAAGAUCAGAAAGAUAACAAAGUAAUUUCCUUUUUUCUUGAAUUAUUCUAAAACUUUCAUUACUAAGUUAUGAACAUAGAUAUAUGUUAGGAAGCGUGUCAAUAUAAUAGAAGGGAAAGAAUAUUUAGGAGAGAACAUCAAUAAGUUGCACAAGAUAAAACAAGACAAGAUUUACGUAGUUCGUCAAUUGUUGCCUACUCCACGGUCACACAAAGAAUAACUUUUUAUUACUUGAAGAGAUAAA